CGCGUAGGCGGAUGUUACAGUCAGGCGUGAAAUUCCUGGGCUCAACCUGGGGGCUGCGUUUGAUACGUGAUGUCUGGAGUUCGGAAGAGGGUCGUGGAAUUCCCAGUGUAGAGGUGAAAUUCGUAGAUAUUGGGAAGAACACCGGUGGCGAAGGCGGCGACCUGGUCCGAUACUGACGCUGAGGCGCGAAAGCGUGGGGAGCAAACAGGAUUAGAUACCCUGGUAGUCCACGCUGUAAACGGUGUGCGCUGGAUGUUGGGUGACAUAGUCAUUCAGUGUCGUAGCUAACGCGAUAAGCGCACCGCCUGGGGAGUACGGCCGCAAGGUUGAA
rnacentral:rRNA from 1 species